GGCAAGUGUAAAUUUGUGGCCUCUCCAAUGGUUUGGCAUAUGGACUUGGCAAAACUAAAAAAGUAGGCCCACUUCCAACCUCCCUCAACUGAUUCCAGUCCGACGUUUCACCUGGGCGCCCGAUCGACAUCACUCAUCGCCUGGCCGCCACUGACCUCACGCGCGCCGCCACACAUGUUAUCUGUGAUUGAUAUAUAUAUAUAUAUAUAUAUAUAUAUAUAUAUAUAUAUAUAUAUAUAUAUAUAUACCGGUUGUUUCUGUCAGGUGUGCACAAUCUGUCAGUACCGGCAGCUGGUGUUCCUUGGCGAUUUGCCUGCCACGCUGCUACUGCACCAUCGCAAGGACAAACUGAGACUGCAUCAGCUGCUGUUGCCGUCCAUCAUCAAUGUUUGCCGGCCACUCGCACUACUACACGACACAGCAGCACGGUGAAGUUUCCAUCUGCGCGCGGGAGAGGAGGCGGGGUCGGGAUUUCGGGCGAUGGCAACGCGAUGGCAAGUCCCCCAACGCGCGCAAAUAUCCGCGUGAAGGACCGGUGGAUGCCAAGUUUGGAAAAUUUGCCAACCUAUAUACCAAACUGUUGGACCUAGAUUUUUUCUAAUUUUGCCAAAAAAACAAGGAU
rnacentral:lncRNA from 1 species